rnacentral:rRNA from 1 species
GUGGGGAAUAUUGGGCAAUGGGCGAAAGCCUGACCCAGCAACGCCGCGUGAAGGAAGAAGGUUUUCGGAUCGUAAACUUCUAUCCUUGGUGAAGAUAAUGACGGUAGCCAAGAAGGAAGCCCCGGCUAACUACGUGCCAGCAGCCGCGGUAAUACGUAGGGGGCAAGCGUUGUCCGGAAUGAUUGGGCGUAAAGGGCGCGUAGGCGGCCCGGUAAGUCUGAAGUGAAAGUCCUGCUUUUAAGGUGGGAAUUGCUUUGGAUACUGUCGGGCUUGAGUGCAGGAGAGGUAAGCGGAAUUCCCGGUGUAGCGGUGAAAUGCGUAGAGAUCGGGAGGAACACCAGUGGCGAAGGCGGCUUACUGGACUGUAACUGACGCUGAGGCGCGAAAGUGUGGGGAGCAAACAGGAUUAGAUACCCCAGUAGUCC